CCAAAUUGCAAUUCUAUGAUUCCCAAAUAAAACAUUUCACUUACAGAUUCAUUUCUCUCUCUCUCUCUCUCAUACGUAUUUCACAUAUAUUUGAGACAGGGUCUUGCUCUGUUGCCUCAGGCUGGAGUGCAGUGGCGCAAUCACAGCUCAAUGCAGCCUUGAACUCCUGGACUCAAGCAAUUCUUCUGCCUCAACCUGCCAAGUAGUUGGGACUACACAUGUGCCAUCACACUCAGCUUUUGUCUGUGAUCCAUGUGGAAACCAUUCUUCUGUGUAUAGUGUAAGGGAAACCACCUUUGCUUUGACAUAUGUGUGUAAACGGUAUUGUCUGUCGAACGUUGCCUCGUGAGUCAUAAAAAGAAACAUCCCAGCCUCUUUGUUAAGAGAAGUGCUGUCAACAUUAUUACCAUGAGGCUCAUGUGGGAAGAUCAGACCAGCUCCAGAAAAAUGAAGAAAUUACAAUUUCUCUAUACAACCAAGUAGUAUGGUGGAUUAAAACUUGCACCCCUGCUCCAUAAAUAACCAAAAUCAUAAAUGAUAAAGGGGACAUAAAAUAAAUCAAAACAUAAAGAGGCUUUUACAAACACAGAAUGGUAUAAAUUUUAGAAAGCUUAAUAAAAUGGGCCAUAUUCAGAAUUAUGAGUUACCUAUAUUAGCCCAAGAAGUAUGCCAAGUAGAAAAGAAGUAUGUCAAAAGAAAGUGAAAAAUUCAUCAAAGAUUACCUCUAAAAACGACCUGAGAUCAAACCAUUUAAUGAGUACAUUCUUUCCAACUUUCCCCAAGGGUCAACCCUCGAAUGUGUAAUAGCCACAGGACUCGGGAAAAGAUGGAAUGCUUCUCAGCUCAUCAAGAAAGCUAGGCUACCUAUAGUACACCAACCUGAAUAGAAUAAAACUAUAGGACACUAUUUUUCUCAAAAGCUUUUGUUACUCCAGGAGGUCCUAGUGCCUCUAAUAUGCUGUGAAAUUCCAAUGAGGGGGUGGCAGGCAGUGGUGUUCCUCAAUUCAGGGUUUAUCCAGCCACUUCCAGACCCUUCUUAGAGCCGUGCUAGAGCUUCCUGGAGUUACACCAUCAGAAGAUUAAGGUGGAUCCAAGAGCCAAGAAUAUAGAGAAGCAUACGCAGAAGAAAAGGGAUUUGCAAGAGAUAAAAAGAGGAAAAGAGACCGUAUAGCAGAUUGCAAUCAUAAUAGCAAUGCUAAGGCAGGAAGCAGUACAUUCUGCUUGUGAAAAUGUAAAUUGAUUCAGCCCUUCGAGGAAGCAACUGACAAUGUGACUUAGAAUCUAAAGAGUACAUACUCUUUGACUUACUAAUCUCAACUCCUGUCUGUCCAUCUUGGGUAAUUAAUUUGAAAUGAAGAUAAAGAUUUACAUACAAGGAUGCAUUUCAUAGAAUUACUGAUGGCAAACAAAAUAAAACAGAAACAAGAAGCAACCUAAAUGUCUGAAAAUGGAAACUAUUAAAUAGAUUAUGGCAUGUUCAGAUAAUAAGUUAUGCAACAAUCCAAAGCAAUGUUUUUGUGGGGGGAGGGGAAUGUAAUGACAGGUAUAGGUCUAGGAUUUUUAGAAAAAAGGCAGAACAUAAACUGCAAUGUAUAAUCUAAGUUAUAUUUUUGAAAUAUAUGUAUAUAGAAAAGACUACUGGAAGAAAUAUAGACCAAAACCACCUUGAAUAUGGUCUCUGAGAGGUAAGGACUCUGAAUGAAUAACAUUUUCUUUUAUACAGUUCUAUUUUCUAACUUUCUGCACAAAGCUGUAUUACUUUUACAAUCUGAAAAAAAAACAAUUACUGCCUAUGAAUAAAAACACAUGUGAAUGAUAAGAAAAAAAAUUUAAGCCUCCAGUCACUAAGGACAAAAUCAUUCCUAGCACGCAAAACAAACCUGAAUCUUAACACCGGUGCCCUUUAAAGCAUAGAAAAGAAAAAGCAAACCAACCAAAUCCCUCCAUAAAGACAGGCUG
rnacentral:lncRNA from 10 species